rnacentral:tRNA from 1 species
GAAAAUUUAGUUAAAUAAUAACAUUAUCUUGUCAAGAUAAAAUUAUUCCCAGGAAUAAUUUUCU